rnacentral:lncRNA from 1 species
CUUGGGGGACAUUAUUCAACUCAGCAUAUAUGCUGUGCAGAAAAAUAAAGCAGCGUUGGGGAAAGAGCAUGGGGGUGGUGCCAUUUAAAUAAGGAGGUGUCAUUUGCAAGGAGGCCUAAAUGAAGGCAGUGAGGGACCCAGUCACAAAUCUAGGGGCAGAAUACCCAGGCAGGGGCACAGCACCACAGCAGAGUCACAGCCUGUUUGGUGGCUGGGGCAGGAGAGCCGGAAGGGUGAAGACGUUGGAGGGGAGGUGCCCAGAAGAAGAGUCCCUGUUGCCUUGUAGACCAAGGUGGGGAUUUUAGAGUUAGCCACCUUCCAGGAAAUUUGUGAGGGUGAAGUGAGUUAAGCACUUCAGAAUACCGAGCUUAAACUAGGCACAUGGGAAGUAUGAGUUCUCUUCCUCCUUGCUCAUCAUCCCAGCUCUAAGACAGCAUGUUAAAACAUUUUUCUCUGGCUUAGGUUUGUCUAAGUUCAACUGAGAAUUUCUUCUCUUCCUAACUGGUCACCCCAUACAGGAUCUGACAUUUUCCAUUGCUUCAGGGACUGCAUUUCAAGGCUUGCAGGAGAUCAGCUCCAUCAGGGGACCUUCACUAAGGAGAACACCUGCUCAACCACCUGCAGUGCAAGUGCGGUCGGAGAGGAAUCCCUUUUCCUCCGCUCCAUCCUCACCCCUGCUCGUCUCUGAAGACUCUCAGCAGACACUGGAGAGGAACACGGCUACAUACUAGAAGAGUCUCUCCUGUCUUCUAUUUCCAGAGUGGCCCUAUUAUGGAACUAAGCCAAUGGACUUUGAAGAUUUUGCUGCCUGUUUUGGCAUUAUCUCCAUAGAUUCACCACGGCUUCGUCCUUCCCUGGGCCUGCCUACUCUACUCAACAUUCCACCUCUUCCUAUGUCACAUGUA